GCUUAACACAUGCAAGUCGAGCGGGCGUAGCAAUACGUCAGCGGCAGACGGGUGAGUAACGCGUGGGAACAUACCUUUUGGUUCGGAACAACACAGGGAAACUUGUGCUAAUACCGGAUAAGCCCUUACGGGGAAAGAUUUAUCGCCGAAAGAUUGGCCCGCGUCUGAUUAGCUAGUUGGUGAGGUAACGGCUCACCAAGGCGACGAUCAGUAGCUGGUCUGAGAGGAUGAUCAGCCACAUUGGGACUGAGACACGGCCCAAACUCCUACGGGAGGCAGCAGUGGGGAAUAUUGGACAAUGGGCGCAAGCCUGAUCCAGCCAUGCCGCGUGAGUGAUGAAGGCCCUAGGGUUGUAAAGUCCUUUCGACGGGGAAGAUAAUGACGGUACCCGUAGAAGAAGCCCCGGCUAACUUCGUGCCAGCAGCCGCGGUAAUAC
rnacentral:rRNA from 1 species